ACGGUUCGGGAGAGAGCGCCUGCGCGGCGCCGCCGAAGGGGAAAAAAACUCUCAGGCAAAAGGAUCGGA
rnacentral:ncRNA from 1 species